GAUGAACGCUAGCGGCAGGCUUAAUACAUGCAAGUCGAGGGACAGCACAGGUAGCAAUACUGGGUGGUAACCGGCAAACGGGUGCGGAACACGUACACAACCUUCCUUUAAGUGGGGGAUAGCCCAGAGAAAUUUGGAUUAAUACCCCGUAAUAUAGUUGAAUGGUAUCAUUUGAUUAUUAUAGCUACGGCGCUUAAUGAUGGGUGUGCGGCUGAUUAGAUAGUUGGCGGGGUAACGGCCCACCAAGUCUACGAUCAGUAGCUGAUGUGAGAGCAUGAUCAGCAACACGGGCACUGAGACACGGGCCCGACUCCUACGGGAGGCAGCAGUAAGGAAUAUUGGUCAAUGGACGCAAGUCUGAACCAGCCAUGCCGCGUGAAGGAUUAAGGUCCUCUGGAUUGUAAACUUCUUUUAUUUGGGACGAAAAAGGGCCUUUCUAGGUCAACUGACGGUACCAGAUGAAUAAGCACCGGCUAACUCCGUGCCAGCCGCCGCCGUAAAAC
rnacentral:rRNA from 1 species